UUCACUUGCAGUUGCCCCAACGGCCAUGAGUAGAUAUUAACUUCGAUAAUUCACAUCAUUUAUGCAACUUUUCGAUUAUGCCAAAAGGGGAAAAAUAUUGUGCAUAAAAUGUUUUUCUGAACUAGUGAUGUUUAUGACCUAAAUCUGACCUCCUUAAUGAUAUGUUAAAUGAUUUUAUAAGUGUUGAUUUCAGUUAAAUCUAUAGUUCCUGGUCAUAAUAAGCACAGAGUUUGUCAUCAUCAAAAAGAGGAAAAUUUUUUGCCCAAGUUUCAGUUGAAGUUUUGAAGAUCGACAAAUGAACUGAUAAAAGGACCUGGUCUAUCUUGUAUUACAUAGUCUAAAUCAACAUGGGCACAUGCAGAGCACGUGAGGAAGAUAAUGCACCAAAGAUCACGUAUCAUCAAUAUCUUCUAAUCAUAAUCGAAAAGAUUGCAUUGGGAUAAGAAGCACAGUCUCCUUAUGAGAAGAAAACUUAAUCCUAAGUUAUGAUAAGGGUUGGAGUUUGCAUUGGGCAAGGACUCGAAUUGUGAAUGGAUAUCAAGUGGAGUCUUAAUCAAACUCUGACUUCUAACUCAAUAUAUGAUUGAGUUAUUUCUCUUUUCAGGCAACGCACACAAGCAGAAGUAAAAGCAUAUUUGAGAGCUAAAGAGCGAAAUCUGAUUAGCAAGAAAUAUAUGCAAGUUACAAGUGUGGACACCUAGAGCUACAUGAAUCUAGAGAAGAACCAGUUCCAUCUGAUUGUUUUAUUUCUAGUUCAAUUGUAGUAGGUUUUAUAUUGUACCUUUCAGCUUUCCUAGAAGCAAUUGUAUUAGGUACGUUGUGUCAUCAAGUUAGAGUUAACUUGAUAGUGUCGCAUCAGCUGAGGCUGUGUGCCAUACUUGGAUUAGAGUUUAAUCCUUAGGUUUACAAGAGUUUUGUAAAUGAUGUCUUUGGGUUAUUGAUUUUAGUAGAGUUUGGGAAAAUCCUACUGAGUAGUAGGUCGUGGUUUUUUCACCUUUUGAGCUAGGUGUUUUCCACGUAAAAUUGCUGUGCACUUUACUUUCAGUUUUUAUAUUUUUCAAACUGCAGUUGUUAGAACACUUAGAAGAACCAGGUUCUUCUAACGCGAAUAUUAGUUACCACACAAAUCACCCCCCUCUUUUGUGGUAUUGACAUUUAUUUACAUCAGGGGGUCUUACACCUCCCAUGUUUCAGGCGUUAUAUUGUGGCUAAGGUGGCCUAUACUGCUGCUGAGUCUGCUGACCGACCCCAGUUCUGGUUUCCCUGUCUCUGACCCCCAUAGUUAGCCACGUAGUUCAUAUCUUCAAGGUGCUGCUGAUGAUGAUAAAGCUCUGUGUUCCAAGGAUUACCAAUUGGCUGACUAAUGCAAGAUGUGCAUAAGCCCCCAUUGGUAGUAUCUUCUAUGUGUACCUGCUUCUUCUGCCUUGAUUUCUCCACCUUUUUGGUGAGAAAGCUCAUUUGUGUCAGGAGAUUUGUCAUAUUUUUAGCCAUAGUGUUUGAAGGAUCAAGGGGCAUUGAGUGCACCACUAGGGUGAUAGAUGAAUUUGUGGAUGUCCAUCCUGAAUUCUGUGCCAUUUUAUCAAGUAAACUCUGGCCUACUCUCCAUGUCUGUCUUAGGAAUGCCCCACCAGCUGAGGCAUCCACAAUAUUCUUCAACCCAUCUGACAGCCCCAUAUAAAAUCAUUGUCCCAACAUCUAUUCUGGAACACCAUGAUGUGGACACAUAACCAAAUUCCUUUGAACCUGCCCCAUGUUUCAUGCAGUGUCUCCAUGUGUGAAAUAAGUGAAUUUAUCCGGUUGAGGCAUUCUUGAUUGAUUGAGACAAAACGAUUCCCUCAAUACAGCUUAACUCCGUCAAGUCGUGAUCGGCCUCCUCAACUGUGUAUCGAUCGAAAGGCAGGGCGGCACAGCCCCCAACCAAGGGAGUGGUUACGUCCAGUAUGUCCCCCCUUAUUCCCGACAUGCUAUGGUACCCCGGAGUGGGUAGGAGCGGGUCGAGUCCGUAUCGCCGCGGAGCAACAGCCGCGUCCGGAUCUGAUCUAUUUACUCGGCAAUUCAUCCGGUGACUUCACGGUCGCCAAAGAAGCCCCAAGAAGCAUCAAACAUUUCCGAUGAGAUCCAUGGAGCAAUUCUUAGAUAGCAAGCACUAGCUCCCGGUGCGACUUCAUAAAAAGCAAUCAAAGAGAAGAUCGAAGAGAAUGAAACGCACGUAGUGGUUAUUAUAGCGGUUCCUUCUUUUCCUAGAAAACGUCCGAAACAACCUGCUACAAAACUACCGAGCAGGGGUAAAAAUACGAUAAGUAGAUACAUAAUUUCGAGUGUGAUCAGACAACCAAAAAUCAGACAAUGACAGAGCGGCCUGUGAUUGAGUGAUAGAUUGAUCGACGACGGAACGAAGAACGAAACUUUACGACAGCUUUUUCGUAAA
rnacentral:lncRNA from 1 species